CAAACCGUCUGAAAGUGGCAGUUGCUAAUUCAGCAUCAGGAGUGUUAACGUGUGCAUACAUAACUUCCACUCGGGGUGCCUUGAGGGCGGCCCCAGUCAUUUUUAUUUAACUCCACAGAUAGUAACCCAUGGGAUUGUAGGCAUUGUCUGGAAAGCCUUAGAUUUAACAACGAGCCUGUUUUUCCUCCCCGAAGGCCUUUCUUUCGCAUCUGCAGAGAUGGUGAAAAGCAGAGCUGGAGGGUGAAGCUUAAAAGUAAUUGAUGGAUCCCUACAGUAAGUAAGAAUGGCUGCAGGCAGGACCUGGGUGGUCACCAGAAAUGAGAAAACGGCGGUGGUGUAACGGCCUGUCACAUACAUAUGCCUCAUACUUUAUUCCGAAGUUAAGUUCAAGUGUAUGAAUUCUUGUUGACCCCUAAGUCCAGUUAAACGAUUGAAGAUGUUGGUUGUGGAUUUUGAAAAGGUCCUGUGAAAACCCAUUAUCUUAAGAUGUUGAAUGUAAGGAUCUUCGUGAUGAAAUUUCUGUAAACGGUACAGCCUCAGCCUCAGUUUCUGAGGCUGAAAAAGGAUCCUUAGCAGCAGCACACUGUGGCAGUUGCCCUGGACCCAGACCCAGACCUGAAACCAAAGAUGAAUAUUUCUCAUGCAUGUGUCUGCAGUGUGUGAGACAGAAUUGUGAACUGCUUUGCCUGAGGUUAUCUCCAAGUGACGCCAGAUGGGAUCAGCACAGCCCUGCUUCUGCUGCUGCUAAUUGCAAAUGGCUAUAAAGUAAUCUCCUAAAAAGAAUCGUUUAAGAUUUCUUUGGGCUUCAUAUUCAAAAGUAUCAAAGGAAUUCAAGUGACUGAGACUAUCCUAGAAAUCUUUGGUGGUUAGUGAGAUUAAGGUAUAAUCAGGAACAUUGAGAACUCCAGUUUAGGUGAUCUGGGUAUUAUCUCAUAUUGGCGGGACUGCAAUGAUUAUAAAUUGAGAUUAAGUAAUUAACAUAUGUACUCUGUAGGGGUACAGAGCAUUCCUCAGGGUGGAUUUCCGAUGAAAUCAGUGUGUCUUGGGUUUAAAUUUUGAAGCACAAAUAAAGUGGGUUUUUUUUUUUUUC